UACGGAGGGGGCAAGCGUUGUCCGGACUUACUGGGCGUAAAGGGCUCGUAGGCGGCCAACUAAGUCAGACGUGAAAUCCCCAGGCUCAACCUGGGAACUGCGUCUGAUACUGGAUGGCUUGAAUCCGGGAGAGGGAUGCAGAAUUCCAGGUGUAGCGGUGAAAUGCGUAGAUAUCUGGAGGAAUACCGGUGGCGAAGGCGGCAUCCUGGACCGGCAUUGACGCUGAGGAGCGAAAGCCAGGGGAGCAAACGGG
rnacentral:rRNA from 1 species